GGAAAUAUGGCUCAGCGGUCGAGUGUGUGCCUACCAAGCACAAGGCCCUGGGUUCUAUCCCCAGGACCCCCU
rnacentral:tRNA from 1 species